AACAAUUAUUCGCUAAGUAAUUUAGCAAAAUCCACGAGCUUAUGUGUGAUGUUUUCUUCAGUAUCUUAAGGAAUUUUCAUUACUCGUAUUUCAACAGAACAGAGCUCACCGGGAGGUGAUAGGCCCUUUAAGAAGCGUUUAAUAGGGUACAACUGGAACAGGGCAUGUUGCUAUUCCGGGUAAACCAGGAAUGUGAGGGUGACUCCCACGCUCCAGACACCUGGCUAAGCUCUCGUCCAACGUUGGGACGCCAGGCUCCGCACAGUGCGCCGUGGCAGAGGCUGCAACGCGGCCCCGGCGCCAGACUUUUUGUUGUCUCUGCCAACAGUGCUACAGAAGACGGACCUCUUCCCCCCUCAAUGUGUGUGUGUGUGUGUGUUGAGGGGGAGGCAAACUUCUUUGAGAGCCACUGGGCUGAAAGAAAGAUGAGAAUGAAAUUAGCCAGGAAAGAAGAGGACAGGGGGUUGGAAGACUAGAAAGACCAGUCAUCCAGAGCUGAGGAAGAGCAUGGGUCCAGUGGGAGUACAUAGCAAUGGGAAAGUGCCAGAAUAUGGAUGACCGAGGAGAGGAAGUGAGGAGAUCAAGAUGCUGUCUCAGAAACUCAUUGGAAACCAGUUUGGAUUUAUCCAUGCUCAUGCAGCAUAUGUGUACUAGAACAGAACUAUGGGUGGUGAAUAAUUCCACAGUCCAAAGUGAAAUGCUGCCAUCUAUAAAGAACUGGAAAAGAUCUUGCAAACUGAAGACCCAAACCCUACUGGAGGAUAAAAUGAGUUUGAAGAGUCUGAGAGAUAUUUUUCUUUUUAGAAAUUAGUUUCCUGUGAGUCUCACUUUUAAUUCCCUAGGAGAGGUCUGUGAUGUACUGUUCUGUGUGCAGAGCUUGAUUCCUAUAUCUAGGUUCAGGUAGCAGGUGGGCUACUGUUGGAGCCAUGCCUGAAAAUCCAAAGGAAAAGGUACUGGGAUGACUAGUUUGGAAGGCCAAGAGAUAAGAGAUAAGUUUUCUGGGAACAAUCUUUACUCACAGUCAGGAUGGAGGCUGUAAGCCCUGAGGACAAGAAGUGGACCACCAGUGCAAAGAAGUCAGCCUAGAGGAAUUGGGGACUUUC